rnacentral:rRNA from 1 species
AAACCAGCACCUCAAGUGGUCAGGAUGAUUAUUGGGCCUAAAGCAUCCGUAGCCUGCUUUAUCAGUUUUCGGUUAAAUCCACACGCUCAACGUAUGGGCUGCCGGGAAUACUGUAAAGCUAGGGAGUGGGAGAGGUAGACGGUACUCGGGAGGAAGGGGUAAAAUCCUUUGAUCUCUCGAUGACCACCUGUGGCGAGGGCGGUCUACCAGAACACGUCCGACGGUGAGGGAUGAAAGCUGGGGGAGCAAACCGGAUUAGAAACCCGGGUAGUCC